GGUUGGUGUAGUAGACGUUGUCGAACGUGUUGGCCGUCGUCGUGUCCAGGUUCGCCAGGUUGUUGUCGCCGUUGGACCGGGGGCAGUUGGGCCGGAGAGAUGUGGCGAAGGUCGUGUCGAUGUUAGUCUCAUUGUAGAUCCUGUCCUUGAAGGUCCCGCACUGCGCCUGGCCGAUGGUGUGCGCGCCCGAGAGAGCCACCAUGUCGACCGUUGUCAGGUUCUUCUUGCGGAACGCGUCCUCAAGAUCUGUCCGGCUAGAUGUAGGGCCUGGGAGGUCGCUGUUUGCCUCCGGCACGUUUGCAUCUAGGGAAUCUCUUCUCCCCAGAGGGACUGUCCAUGACGGCCCUCCAAGCUGCGCGCGAAGGGUACGAAACAAAAAAGCAAACAAACGGUUAACGAUAUGGCCUAAGAGAUGCCGAGCAUCCAGCCAGUGAUGUAACAUGAUCGUAUGAUGAUCUUACGGCGACGACGGAGUCACGGGCGGCGACGGUGAGGAUGUCGGCGCAGGAGACGGUCUGGCUGCAGAUGGCCUCGAUCUGCGUCUUGAUGCUGUCGAUGACUUCGAAGCCCCGCAGCGACCCGUUGUUGGGGAGAGCGUUUUGUUCCAUGCCAGACAGUAGAACAGACGCGUCACAGCCCUGCACAUCACAUACGUAUAGUGUUUAUUGCAAGCAAAAGCAAAACAAAACAGUGUAUGUAACGGCUAUCAGGCUAUGCAUGUGGCCCACUUACUUGGACGAAGCAGUCGUGGAAGUGCAGCCGGAGCAGCGACGCGCCCAUGCGGGUGUCGCUGCUCACGGCGGCCAUGACGCCGCUCUUGAUGGUGGCCAGGGCCCUGGGGCAUGACGUGUCGUAGAACGUCGGCGACAGCUGCGCCGACGCCACCGUGGCCAGAGCCACUAGCACCACAAGAGAAAGGCAAGAGGCGGAGGCGGCCAUGGUUAGUAGCUAGGUGCAAGAGCAAAGCUACGCCAGCUUACUAGCUACCUGCACUUCUUAGUUCUUACUGGUGGAGUGGUGGUGGCUUAGUGGCUUGUGCAAGAGAGUGGUGCAUAGCAUGCAUAUUUAUAGCCAAAGAUUUAGCUCACGUGCACCUUCAGAUCGCUCCCAGUCUCCGACUAGCGAUAGCUCAUCCAAAAUUUAGGUCACAUUAGUCCAACGUUAGUCUCUGACUCCCGUUCGAUCCAUCGGGUAUACUGCGAGCUUCCAGCUUGAGCGAUUUCUCUUGGCGUAUUCGUGGCAGCUUCCAGCUUGAGCCGCUACCGCCAACACCAACACCUGCAUUUUCCUUGCAACAGGGCCAACUUGAGCGAUCUCUCUUGGCGUUUAUCACGCAAAAAUCGGCAAAACAUUGAACGAUCUCUCUUUUUUCAUCACCUCCAUGCUAGCGGACGCCUGGAGCCAUGUGUGCGCGCACACCAACCUUUUGGCCUUACGUGCGAAUAGUAGUGUGGGGAGUCAGCGUUAUUCCAAGGCGAUUCACUUCGUUUUGACCGGUGCGCAGUCAUCUUGCGCUCCCGUCGCCUUCGGCCAACACGGACAAUUCAGCAGCUGGGUCACGACCUUCAAGUAGCUAUCUGUUCUCUAACACCAGGUGACCAUACAUGGAUCAAUCAAGGCUAGGCUUAGCAAUAACAUCAAGUGCAAUGAUGGAGCAGACGAAUAUAACAUCGACUGAGACUUGGUUAAGUACCAGUCGCGUGAGAUUUACCAAUCCCAUAGCAAUAAACAAAUCAUCCAUCGGUAGUUCAAUCCAAACGCUGGGAAGGCGUGGCCAAGGCGCCAUGGGUUGUAUAGCAUAACAUACCCCAGGUGAGGCUAGGUUUUUGGAUCGGGUUCGCAAAAGCCCAACCUAAAAAUGCCAAGCCAGGGCUUAGCCCGGUGUUGUCUUAUCACAAAGAAAGGCUAUUUUUUAUUUUAAAUAAUUGGUCCCAGGAAGGAAAAAUGAAUAACUAUACCUUUUAAGCAUAUUUUAGGAAAGAUCUAAAAAACAAUCAUUUCAUAGCCUUUUCCGAGCUUCUGAGAGGAAAGUGAGGCCAAGCCGGUUCGACUGCCGGGUUGCUCACGCCUAAGUCUAUCUACUUGUAGUUGAGUAUUUUAUACAACCAUCAACUUUGUUUUGGUCUAACUUAACCUUCUAACUCUUAGAACAAUGACGACAUCUUGUAGCGCAAAGAGGAAGGUCGAUGUAACGACGGUGCUGGCCUCCCAAAAGCACAUGAUAUUGAGGAAGGGCCGCAAGUGACAGGGGAGAUGCCGACGGAGGGUGAGGAGACGAGACAGGUAGGGUCUUGCUUCAUACCAUGUGCUCUACGAUGCCUCGGUGUUGUAGUAGUGAAAAACAACAUAAAUUAAGGGUGGAUUGCCGUCACUGAUCUAGACAACGUGCUGCAAUGUUAGCAACCAUAAUCGACAAUUGUAAGAAUGGGCGUAUAUGAUAGUCGUGCAAUGGGUCGACGCAUACAUGCGAGAGUGGGAUAACGAUGUUUAUUAACUAGGUACGUGCACAACAGCAAAAUGGGUGUGUCGUUGACCCUUGAUGAGUGUAACCUCCGGUAUAGAUUGAGAUUGUCAACCCAGAACCAUGUCGCCAGACGAUCGGUCAACUUGAUACGAAUUCCAUGGUGGUCCUUGUCUGAAUCAACCGAUGGAAGAAAAUAAACUGAACCCCACUCUCCGAAUGGAAGCCCGAAGCUCAACCUUCACCGAGUCUGUUUUUAAUUGGAAGCCUUAAUCUUGAAGAGAACCUUUGUUUUCCUAGUACAAAACUCUUCAUGAGUUUUUGUAUUCGCGUCCCAAAGAGGGAACCUCGCACUGCAAAGAUAACCAAUUCUUCAUGAUUCCUUUACGGGUGGAAGAAACCCAAACAGAUUUGAUGAAAUAAUAAUUAUUUUUAAAUCUAGGUAGCAAUCGCCAUAAACAAUUUUUUAGCUCAUGUACUGUUCCUCAAUCUACAAUGUUUCUUGAAAUCUUUACGGCCACAACAAAAUCAUCAUCCCAUCUAGUUAAUGAUGAUGCAUUAACCUUUUUUUGCGAAAAAUGAUGCAUUAACCUUGACCCAUAUGAAGAAAUAUUUCAACAUCGAAUAAACUCAGUUGUUAUGUAGGUGUGUUACACAUUCUGUCACAUGUCACUGACGGAGAAACUAGAUUUUUUCACUGAAAAAUUUUCAGUUCGUGUAUACUAAAUAAAUGUCCAUGCUACUAGUGAGUUUUUUUGGUAGAAUUGGACAGUUUCAUGUGUAAUUUUUUCAUAUGCAAAACUAUCUUUUAACUAAUUUUGAAACGUUCAUGUACUUCAAAACAACGUUCAGGACUAUAAAAAAAGUCCACCUCUCUGAAGAAACUGAUUAUGUAUUUUAGAAUAAAAUAUUCAUGUGUUUGACAAAAAAUAUUUACAACUUCUAAGAUUUUUUUUCACAUUCGCACAAAUAUUUAUAUAAAACUAUCUGAAUUUUAAAUGAAAUUAGUUAAAUAAUAAUGUUAAAUAUAGCAAUUAAAAUAAAAAUGAAACAGAAGCAAUAUGUAAUAUUUUUGUGAAAAAUCAAAUAAUAAGUGAAGUAAUAGUGACAAAACAAAUAAUGAUGAAUAAUGUUGGUUAAAUAAUUUAUUUGCUUAGUCAAUUUUUAGAAAGUUUGACUAAUGAAAAAACUUACAUACACUAUAAUUUGGAUAGGUGAAAGUAUGUCAAAAAAAGUUGGCGAGCUUCUUUAAAAAAACUUUCAAAAAUACACUAGAAUUUAUUUUUCUAAAUAAUUUACUAAGCUUCUUUUCGAAGAGGUCUUCGAUAUUUUUGUAUUCCUUGUUGGUGAGCUUGCGAUGACGAAUCGGAAUCCUGAGGUACUUGAACGGUAGGAAUCCCACUUCACAACCAAAGGGUUGCAUGUAUUGACUCACCUCCUCUUUCGCCAAAUGAUCAUUUUUUUCAUAUUAUCAUUGUUUUCAUGAAGUUGUAUGAUCAAAUAUGUGUUUACAAAAACAUGGUUAUGUAUUUUAGAAUAAAAAUAUAUUCACGUACUCCCUCCAUGCUAAAUUCAAUGCAUAUAAUUUGUUUUCAAAAGUCAACCUUUGGAAACUUUGACAUACUUUAUAGAAAAUGUAUGAAUAUUUACAAUGCUGAAUAUCUACCAUAUUAGGAAUAUAUUUCAUGAUAAAUCUCGGGUAAUGUUAUCCAGCGAACGUUCGCCGGGAGUGUACGGCAAAACCAAACGGCAAUUUAUGUGUUGGGAGCAUGGCAAUCCUUUCAAACAAACACGGCAAUUUCACAUCAAAAUCCUCUAUUUGCCACAAGUUGCCAUGUGUUUGUGAAGCAAUUGCCAUUUUCUUCCGAAUAAUUUCCUAAAUCCUCAGGGUGGUGCCUGAUCAGGUGGCUCCCCAGAACCGCGGCCCCAUAGGCGACGGCCUUGGUAGGGUUGAUCCCGUCGACGUUGACGGGCUCCUUACCGUCGAAGUAGUUCUUGACAAAGCUGCUGCACCAUGGGGAUCCUGCUGCCACCGCCCACGAGGACGACAUCGUGGAUGUCUCCCUUCUCCAGCUCGGCGUCCGUCAGGGCUUUCUUCAACGGAGCCAUCGUCUUCUAGAAGCGGUCUUUGUUGAGCUCCUCGAACAACGCCCUGGUGAGCGUCUCCGAGAGGUGGACAUCGUUCAACAGGCCCUUGACCUCCACGCCCACCUGGUGCUGGUCAUGGUCGCUCAGCGCCCGUUUGGCGCGCUCACAUUCCAGCAGCAGCCUCUGCAUCGCGUGGCCGUCACCGGUGAUGUCCCGACCCGUGCUUCCCACUACUAGGAAAGAGCUUAUAGAUAGAGAAAUAGCAGUAGCGCGGGUAAAAACAGUGUGCUACUACUAAAAAAUAGUAGUAGUGCGGGUCUACCAUUCCUGCGCUACUACUAAAUAUCCCCCAGGACAGCUUAUAGUAGUAGCGAGGGGUAUAAAAGCCGCACUACUACUAUUUUCUAGUAGUAGCGCGGGCUGCAAUUCCCACGCCACUACUAUAAAUUGACGGGAUUAGCUAAUGUACCCCACUUUAGCAGCAGCGAAGCACCCGUGGCCCGCGCUACAACUAGUGGCACCGCACCGCACUGCAACCUAUGCGUGGGUUAUCUCCCCUGUCCCUUGCCCCUCCCCCUCUGCCGCCCCUCCCCCAACCAAUCUUGCCCACACCGCAGAUGCCUCCUCCGCCCCCAAACGACGGUGACAGGGAUGCCGGCGCCCUAACCCGCGCCUCCUUCCACCUCUCCCAACUCGUCUUCUCGCCGGCCGCUUUUAAGGAGCCUCCUUUCACGCGCCACUAGUAGCCAAUUUACCCGCGCCACUAGUAGCAAAUUUACCUGCGCUACUAGUAGCCUUUUUCCUAGUAGUGUCCGCUGGAUCAGCUCAACAAAGUAACCCGCGAGUUGCCGGUCGAAGUCGUCACCACUGAGGUGCACGUCGCUGCGGGUCAUUAGGACAUCCAACAUGCCCUCCUUGAGGCUGAGCACACUGACGUCGAGAGUGCUGCCGCCGACAUUAUCAUUUGUCUCAUGAAGUUGUAUGAUCAAAUAUGUGUUUACAAAAAAAAUGAUUAUGUAUUUUAGAAUAAAAAUAUAUUCACGUACUCCCUUCAUGCUAAAUUCAGUGCAUAUAAUUCGUUUACGAAAGUCAAUCUUUGGAAACUUUGACAUAGUUUAUAGAAAAUGUAUGAAUAUUUACAAUGAUGCAUGUAUACCAUAUUAAGAAUAUAUUUGAUGAUAAAUCUCGGGUAAUGUUAUCCAGCGAACAUUCGCUGGAAAUGUAUGGCAAAACCAAAUGACAAGUUAUGUGUUGGGAGCAUAGCAAUCCAUUCAAACAAAAACACGGCAAUUUCUCAGCAAAAUCCUCUAUUUGCCACAAGUUGCCAUGUGUUUGAAGAAAUUGCCAUUUUCUUUCGAAUAAUUUCCUAUGGAAAACAUUCGCAAUUGCCAUGCCCCACAGCAAAACGUUCACUGGCUAUUCGUGUCCUAAAUCUAAUGGUCUUGAUCUGGUAUUAUUAUUGUCGCUAAAAUAAUUUAUGUGCUUAGUAAUUUUUUAUAAAGUUUGACUACUAAAAAAACUUAUAUACAAUAUAAUUUGGAUAAGUGAAAGUAUGCCAAAAUAAAUAAAUUCAUGCAUGCAUUUGAGAAAAUUUGUCAUGUGUGCUAUAUUAUAUGCUCUUGUUAUCUCUUAGAGAAUUCGUACAUAUUUCCUCCUAAAAAGUGAAAAAUGGGAAAAGUGAUUUNNNNNNNNNNNNNNNNNNNNNNNNNNNNNNNNNNNNNNNNNNNNNNNNNNNNNNNNNNNNNNNNNNNNNNNNNNNNNNNNNNNNNNNNNNNNNNNNNNNNNNNNNNNNNNNNNNNNNNNNNNNNNNNNNNNNNNNNNNNNNNNNNNNNNNNNNNNNNNNNNNNNNNNNNNNNNNNNNNNNNNNNNNNNNNNNNNNNNNNNNNNNNNNNNNNNNNNNNNNNNNNNNNAGCUGCGAAGAUAUGUUAUACGCAGUGGGUGGUAUAUAGGAUUCGGGGAGCGCAGCACAUAUGCACGAUUUCGUGUAAUUUUCUCCUAACGUUGAAAAUAAGUAUUCUCGUACAAUAAUCGAGCACGGCCACUUCACGCCCAAUUUCACAAGAGGAGUUUACAUCUUCAUUCCGUGUACGAGUGUAAUAAGGUAGGAUUGAUAGUAAUUCUCCUUGCCUUUUGCAUGAGAAAUUGAGGAUUCAACCGUCGUUACAUACGUUGAUGCAUGCAUGAUUUGCUGCUGCACAUGCUUUGAAACUACACGAUUCAAGUGCUGGUAUGAUAAGUGGUACUGGCCACUGUUUUUGUGGCCUUAUUCAUUCACGUGUCGUGCUGCCGACGCAUACGUCCAUCACGAGUUCACCUUGGAGCAGCUGAGCCUGAUCUGGCCCUGCGUCCCGGUGAGCGGCGCGAUGUUUCCCAUCUUAAUCAUGGCCGUCGUGAAGGCGCUGCUGAAGGCCGCGGCGUUGGACGCGAAGUUGCGGACGGUGUUGUCGGUGGUGUCGUUAUUGAAGAGCACCUGGUCCGAGUGCAGGAGCCCUUUCUGUGACAGGAGGUUGGUGUAGUAGGCGUUGUCGAACGCGUUGGGCGUCGUUGUGUCCAGGUUCGCCAGGUUGCUGUUGCCGCCGGACUGGGGGCAGUUGGCCUUGAGAGACGUGGCGAAGGCAGUGUUGAUGUUGGUGUCACCGCCGUAGAUCCGAUUCCGGAAGUUGGAGCACUGGGCCUUCCCGAUGG
rnacentral:lncRNA from 1 species